UAGGGAUAACACAGAGAUGUCACAUAAAUAAAUGUCAAAUUUUCAAAAAAAUACAAAUUUUUUCUAUGGAUUCCAAAGAAAAAAAUAAAUAUCAAAUUAUUCACAAAUAUCAUUAAAUUAUUCACAAAUUUAUAAAUUACAAAUUUACAAACUUUUCUAUAGUUGUGCAUGCCAAUGAGGAGAAGGAUGCAUGACGAACUCGAUCGCGUGCGUGCACAGCGAAGACGUACCCUACCGAAGAUCCACUGCCAGUCCUGCUGCGCGUGCACAGGCAUAGUUGCUCCACCCCCUCAGCCCACGCAGCAGCUAACUGCAUGCGACGUGACUUGGACCGUAUCUCCUGCAUGCACGCACUCAGCUAGUAGGCAC
rnacentral:lncRNA from 1 species